GUUUUAUUGGGUGUGCUCGGUUGGCCUUGCCUCCCCCUGAGGGCCUGUCCUCAGUGCCACCUGGGGCCCCAGGUUCAGUCCAAUCCCCAUCCUCAGUCCAGGGCCGAGCCAUAGUUUCAAAAUCAAACCAAAUAUCAGGCUCCUCCUCAUCCAGCUCCUGGUCAUCGUCCCACUCCUCUUCCCCCUCCUCCUCCAGCUUCUCACUGUCAUCUCUUCCUAUGGUCAGUUUGUAAACGCAGUAGCAGGCACCAGCCCCAAUCAUCAGUCCUGCCGCCAUCCAACCCACUUCCC
rnacentral:lncRNA from 1 species